UUUUCGUUGCAUUGUAGGCUUUCAAGUUUUGAAGAAGGAAAGGCUAGCCAGUGAAGAUUAAGGUAGUCUUGGGGAGUUUCUUAUAUUAUCUUGGUUUGAUAUUCAGGUAUUUAAUUGGAGGCUUGUUGUGGUGUAGUGGUUAACAAAGAUCCCUCUUAGACUUUUGAGUCUUUUUCUGCAUUUCAGUUAUUUUCUAUCCCUUCUUUCUUUUGUAAAUUCCUUGAAUUAUUCUCUGGAUUUUGGUACUUUGUAAGGUAAGUGCUCUAGGGUCUGCAUUUUGGAGAAGGGGAGGCUUGACGAUGAAACCUGAAGUUGGUAGUCUUAGGAUUUUCAAACUCUGGGUUUGACAUUUUGAUGUCUAACUGGAGAGAUAUUUUGGUGCAGCUGUUUGACUAGUAUUUCAAUAACAUGAUGAUGUGUUCCGCAAAAAAAUUGGUUCUCUUCCUCUCUUCAUGCUUGUAUUGGAUAUGAAAGUGAUUCUUUACAUUUUGGAUUACUCAUUCAACAAUUUUUGCUUCUAAUUUGUGUUCUCAGGGCAAGAAUGGAAGUAGUUUUCCUCUGGCUUUGGCAUUCAUACCUUUCCCUAGAAUGUGACUCUACUUGAUAUUUUGGUUUUCUUUUGUGAAUCUCUGCAAAUAUAAUAUGCAAUUUUAUAGCCAGUAUUCAAAGAUUUCCUCCUUGAUUUCCCUCUGGCAAUUUUGGAUAGGGAGAUGAAGGUUAUUGAUCUUCAUUGUUUCUUAAUAUUGUUUUGGUUUUAUUUGUAGGUGUUUGAUUGGGUGCUUGUUAAGUUGUUAUGAAGAACUAAAAAACCAGAAUUGUUUUAAGAAUAUAAAAACAGAAAACAGGACCAAACAAUCCCUUGGUUUCCCAUCCAAGAUGUCUCACCUGUAAUUGGUAUUUUAGGUUUUGGGUUUCCCCCUAAUUUCAAAUGCCGGUUUACAUUUUGAUAUCUAGGUGUUUACUUGGAGGCUAGUUUUGUUGCAGCUUCUUUUAGAUAAGACUGUGUUUCAUAGUGUCUCAUCCUGAAUGUAUGGCCUUUCAAUGUUUUGUUUUGUUUCUUUUUUUUUUAUGUUUUUUUUUUUUUGCUUAGGUAAAAGGAACAUGGCUUUUCUUUUCCUGGAUUUGUUUAGGUGUAAGAAGGUGACUCCAUUGUGAAGGGUUAUUUGCUCUCCGACAGCUCCUUUUAGAUUUUGAGCUUUUUUAUAUGUCCAUUAUUUUUGUGUGACUUGAUAUCCGUGUGGUUUAAUGGGUGGUUUUUUUCUGCAGUUUGUCAACAAUAUUUCUCAAUAAGUUGGCUGGAUUUUCACCAAAAAAAAAAAUUGGUUGCAUCUACUUGCUUAUAAUUUUUUUCCUGUACCCUUUUGAAUAUGAAUAUACAUAUCAUGAUGUCUUCGCCAAAAUGUAUAGCCUUUAAAUUUUUUAUUUUUAAUACUUUGGUGAAAAGACCACCACUUUUUCGCUGGGUUCUUUUGGUUCAGUGGAUGUGAUUCCACCAAGAAGUGUCAUUCAUUGCAGAAUUUUUUCCCGUUUUCAAUUGUAUUGGUUUGACUAUUAGUAUCUAGGUCUUUAAUUUGUUGAUUUUUUUUUUGUUGCAGCUGUUUACAAUGGGUCUUGAUAAGUUGCUCGGAAGUUUCAUGAAAAUAUUUGGUUCAAUCUUUCUACUUAUGCCUUUUCUGCUAUAUAUUUUUUGAAGUUAUUAUUUCUUUCAUAGUGUUUCAUUGAAAAUGUAUUGCCUUUAAGUGGAGGCUUUUUGACAUAAGUGAAAAGAGCAUGGCUUUCCUUUCCCUGUGUUCGUUUGGGUGAAAGAAAGUGAUUCCACUUAGGAGGUUUAUUCUUUCCCCGAUGGUUCCUUUUUGAUUUUGACAUCUGAUUUCCCCCCUAAUUUCAAGUUCAAUUGUUUUGUUUGACUUUUGAAGUUGAGGUGAUUAAUUGGCGAAUUAUUUUAUUCUAGCUGGUUCCUAGAGUUGCACCAAAAAAAAAAAAAAUUGGUUCCAUCUCCUGCUUAUGAUUUUUUAACUCUGCAUAUUUUUGAAAAUUACUGAGCUUCAUGGUGUCUCAUCCAGAAGUACGGCUUAAUUGCAGAUUUUAUGACAGGUGAGAUGAGAUGAGCAUCUCUUUUCUUUUGCCUGGUUCUUUUGUGGAAAGGAAUUGAUGCCACUUAGAAGGGCUAUUUAUUCAUCAACAGCAUAUUGUUUUCUUUCCUUGGUUAACAUGUAUUUAUAAGUGCCUUGAUUUUCACAAAAAAAUUGGUUACAUCUUCCUCCUUAAUUGUACUUGGAGUUUUUUGUCUUAGGUAAAAAGAGCAUGGCUUUUCAUUUCCUGUGUUCUUUUAGGUGAAAGUAACUAACUGAUUGCAUUGAAGGUUUAUUAAUUCCCCAACAGCUCCUUUUAGAUGCCAAGUUUCUUUUUUCAUUUUGUUUCCCUCAAUUUCAGUUGUUUUGGUUUGACUUUUGAUAUCUUGGUGUUCAAUUUGUGGCUUGUUUUUGCGGCCAGCUAACAGCCUUAAUAAGUUUGCUGGGCACCCAACCUUUGGUUGAAAUAUUUUCCCCUACAGCUCCUUUUAGAUUGAACUUUUUCUUUUUUAUAAUUUCGGUUGUUUUGGUUUGACUUUUGGUAUUGUGGUGUUUAAUUUGAGGUUUAUUUUGUUCCAGUUGGUGAAUAAUCUGUGGUGAUAAGCGGCCUAGAUUUUUACAAAAAAAUUGGUUACAUCUUCCUGCUUAUCCUUUUUCUUCUAUGCAUUCUUGGAAAUUAUUCUGCAGUCCGUAGUGUCUCAACUAGAAUGUAUGCCCCUUAAUUAAAAUUAUCCUUUUUAGCUAUUCAAUUUGUUUUGGUUUGACGCUUGGUAUCUUGGAGCUUAGUAUGUGGCUUAUUUUGUUGCAGCUUGUUAGGAGUCUCUAUAGUUGUCUAGAGUUUCACGAACAGUCUGUCCUUGUUCCUUUUCUUCUAAAAGUCUUUUGACACUAUUUCAUACUGCGUUUUUUGAUAUAGGUGAAGAGAUUGUGGCUUUUCUUUUCCGUGGGUUGGUGUGAGUGAAAGGAAGUGAUUCCACGUAAGAGGUUUAUUUAUUCCUGAAUGGUUCAUUUUCGAUUUUGAGAUCUGAUUUCCCCCUGAUUUCAAUUUCAAUUGUUAUGGUUAGACCUUAUAUGUUGGUGUUUAAUUGGAGGCUUAUUUUGUUGCAGCUACUGUCCAAUGUGUCUCGACAAAUUAUUAUUACAUUCUGAGAAAAAUUUGGUUACGUCUUUCUUAUGCCUUUCCUUCUCUACACUUUUGGAAAUGAUUUCGUUUCAUAGUGUCUUAUCCUGAGUGUAUGGCCUUCAAUUGUUGAUUUCGGGCUUAGGUGAGAAGAAUUUGACUUUUUUCCCCUGGAUUCAUUUAGGUGCAUAAGAAAGUAACUCCACUACGAAGAGUUGUUCAUUCCCCAACAACUCCUUUUAGAUUUUAAGAUUUUUUUUAUUUCAAUUAUUUUGGUGCAACUUUUGAUUUCUUUGCAUUUAAUUGGUGGCCUGGCUUAUUCUUCUGCAGCUGGUUAACAAUAUGUCCCGAUAAGUUGCCUAGUCUUUCACGAGCAAAUUGGUUACAUCUACCUGCUUAUGCCUUUUCUUCUGUAUCCUUUUGGAUAUAUGAUUAUAUAUAUCAUAAUGUCUCAACAAAAGUGUAUAGCCUUUAAUUUGUGGGUUUUUUUUUUUGCCUGACAUAGGUGAAGAGAGCACCGCUUUUCAUUUGCUGGGUUCUUUUGGUUCAAUGGAAGUGAUUCCACCGAGAAGUGUCAUUCAUUCCAGAAUAGUUUUUCUUUAUUUCAUUUUCAAUGUUGUUGUUUUGACUAUUGGUAUCUUGAUUUUUAAUUUGUGGCUUAUCUUGUUGCAGCUGGUUAACAAUGGGUAUUGAUAAGUUUCCCUGGAGUUUCACAAAAAACUUGGUUCCCUCCUACUGCUCAUGCCUUUUUUUUUUGCUAUACAUGUUUUGAAACUAUUCUUUCUAUCAUGGUGUUUCAUCAAGAAUGUAUAAGCUUUAAGUGGAGUUCCUUCGACAUAGGUGAAAAGAACGUGGCUUUUCUUUCCCUAUUCUUUCCUUGUGUUCGUUUGGGUGAAAGAAAAUGAUUUCACUUAGGAGGUGUGCUCAUUCCCCAAUGGUUCUAUUUCUAUUUCAAGAUUUGAUUUUUCCCUCGGCUUAUUUUGUUGAAUCUUGUUUUCUACGUGUCUCAAUAAGUUGCUUUGAGUUGCAUAAAAAAUUUGGUUACGUCUAUUGGUGAUGCUUUUUAUUCUGAAAAUUUUUUGAAACGACUGUGCUACAUAGUGUCUGAUCUGUAAUGUAUUGCUUAAGUGGAGAUUUUUUGACAUUGGUGACAUGAGCAUCUCUUUUCUUUAGCUGUCUUCCUUGGGUAUAAAGGAAUUGAUGCCACUUUGAAGGGUACUUGCUCCUUAAGAGCAUCUUUUUCUUCCAUUGGUUAACAUGUAUUGAUAGGUUGCCUUGAUUUUCCCAAAAAAAUUGGUUACAUGUUCCUGCUUAUGCUUUGGUCUACACAUUCUGGAAAAUUAUUCUACGUUCCAUAGUGUCUUAUCUAGAAUACAUGCCCUUUAAUUUUAGCCUUCUGACUAAGAGCAUGGCUUUUCAUUCCCUGCAUUCUUUUGGGCUAAAGGAAGUGAGUGCACUGGAGGGUUAGUCAUUCUCCAACAGCUCCAUUUAGAUGCUGAGCUUCUUUUUUUUUUUUUUGCUAUUUAAUUUUUUUGGCUUGACAUUGGGUAUCUUGGUGUUUAAUAUGUGGCUUAUUUUGUUGCAGCUUGUUAGGUGUCUCAAUGAGUUACCUAGAGUUACACAAAUAGUUUGUCUUUCUUGUGCAUUUUCUUUUAUGGGCGUCUUGAUUUUUUUCUAUAAGCCUUUUAACAGUAUCCUGUCUUACAUAAUGUGUUUUGUCCCGAAUUUGUGCCCUUUAUUUAGAGUUCUUUGACUUAGGUGACUGGGUUCUUUGGGUGAAAGAAAGUGAUUCAUUCCCCAAGGGUUCAUUUUCAACUUUGAGAUUUGAUUUUUGUGAUUAUAAUAUUCUGAAAAAAAAUUGGUUACAUCUUCUUGCUUAUCCCUUUCUUUCUCUAUAUGUUUGGAAAUGACAGUUUCAUAGUGUUUCGUCCUGCGUUUAUGGCCUUCAAUUGUUGAUUUUGGGCUUUAGGUGAUAAGAACAUGGCUUUUCUUUCCCUGGAUUCGUUUAGGUGCAUAUGAAAGUAACUCCUCUGUGAAGGGUAAUUCAUUCCCUCAAAAAUCCUUUUUGAUUUUACGCUUUUUAUUUCAAUUAUUUGGGUGUGACUUUUGAUGUCUUUGUGUUAUCUCUUCUUUUGCAGCUGUUUAACGUCUUGUUAAGUUGCCUAAUCUUGCACAAAAUAAUUGGUUUCAUCCACCUGCUUUUGCGUUUUCUUCUCUACCAUUUUGGAUGUAUGAUUAUAUCUAUAUCAUAAUGACUCAACCAAAAUUUAUAGUCCUUUAUUUGAGUUAUAGCUGCUUAACAAUAUGUCUUGACAUGUUGCUUGAAAGUUUCACGAAAAAAUGUGGUUCAAUUUUACUACUUCUGCCUAUUUGCAGUUUAUUUUUUGAUAUUAUUCUUUCUUUCAUAGUGUUCCAUUGAGAAUGUAUGGCCUGUAAUUGUAGGCUUUUGAUCUAGCGUGGGUUUUCUUUUCCUUGGUUGGUGUGGGUGAAAGAAAGCGAUUCUUUUCUUUUCCUUGGUUGGUGUGGGUGAAAGAAAGCGAUUCAUUCCCCACAUGUUCAUUUUUGAUUUUGAGAUCUGAUAGCGAGGUUUGACUGCUUUAAAUGUUAGUGUUUAAUUGUAGACUUAUUUUGUUGCAGCUGCUUUCAAAUGUGUUUCGACAAGUUAUUAUUACGUUCUGAAGUAUUGGCUUAGUGUCUCAUUGUGAAUAUAUGGCCUGCAAUUGUUUUAUUUUGGGCUUAGGUGAGCAGAACAUGGCUCUUCUUUCCCUGGAUUUGGUGAAAGUAACUUCACUUCCAGGGGUUAUUCAUUCCCCAACAACUCUUAUUUUGAUUUUAAGCUUUCUUUUUUAAUUUCAAUUAUUUUCCUCCGACUAUGGAUUUUUCUUUGCAUUUAAUUGGUGGCUUGGUUUAUACUUCUGCAGCAGGUUGACAACUUGUCCUGAUAAGUUGCCAAGUCUUUCACCCAAAAAUUGGUUACUUCUAUCUACUUAUGCUUUUUUUUUCUGUACCCUUUUGGAAAUAUGAUUAUAUAAGUGAUCAUGACUCAACCAAAAUGUAUAUCUUCAAAUUUAGGUUAUUUUUUCCUGACUUUGGUGAAAAGAGCAUCACUUUUCAUUUGCUGACUGAGUGUUUUUCUUAGUUUGCAUUUUUAAUUGUAUUGUCUUGGCUAUUGGUAUCUAUGUUUUUAAUUUCUUGCUUAUUUUGUUGCAGCUGCUUAAAAAUGUGUCUUGAUAAAUUGCUUGAAAGUUUCGCAAAAAAAAUUUGGUUCAAUCUGCAUUUUUGAAAAUGAUUGUUUCAUAGUCUCAUCAUAUAGGGUUACAUCUUUUUGCUUAUGCCUUUUCUUCUCUACACUUUUGGAAAUGAUUGUGUUUCAUAGUGUCUCAUCGUGAAUGUAUGGCCUUCAAUUGUUGAUUUUUGGCUUAGGUGAGAAGAACAUGGUUUUUAUUUCCGUGGAUUUGUCUAGGUGCAUUAGAAAGUAACUUCACAACUGAGGGUUAUUCAUUCCUCAAACAACUCCUUUUUGAUUUUAAGUUUUUUCUUAUUUCAAUUAUUUUGGUGCGACAAUUGAUUUUUAUUUGCAUUUAAUUGGUGGCUUGGCUUAUUCUGCAGCAGGUUGACAACUUGUCCCGAUGAGUUGCCAAUCUUUCAAAAAAAAAAAAAAGGGUACGUCUACCUGCUUAUGCUUUUUCUUCUGUGCUCCUUUGGAUAUAUAAUUAUAUAAAUCAUUCUCACUCAUCCAAAAUGUAUAUUCUUCAACUUUAGGUUAUUUUUUCCUGACUUAGGUCUAAGGAGCACUGCUUUUCAUUUGCUGUGUCCUUUUAGUUCAGUGCAAGUGAUUCCUCCAACAUGCAACUAUUUCAUUCCAAAAGGGAUUGAGUGUUUUGUUUUGUUUUUUUUUUUCAAUUGUUAUUAUUAUUUUUUUUUUUUGCAUUGGCUUGGCUAUUGAUAUCUAUGUUUUUGAUUUCUUGCUUAUUUUGUUACAGCUCCGAAAAAUUUGUCUUGAUAAGUUGCUUGAAAGUGUCUCAAAAAAAAAAACAAAAAUAAAAUUGGUGUAAUCUUUACUACUUGUGCCUUUUCUGCUUUAUAUUUUUUGAGAUUAUUCUUUCUAUCAUAGUGUUUCAUCGAGAAUGGAUGGGCCUUUAACUUGAGUUUUUUGACUUAGGUGAAAAGGGUAUGGGGCUUUUCUUACCCUGGAAUGGUAUGGGUGAAAGAAAAUGAUUCAUUUGAAGCAGUUCGUUUUCGAUUCUGAGAUUUUAUUUUUGUUCCCUGAUUUAGUUUGUAUUGUUGUUGUUUGACUUUUGUGAAAUGUCGGUAUUUAAUUGUAUGCUUAUUUUGUUGCAGCUGUUUGCCAAUGUGUCUCCGCAAGUUAUUAUCACAGUGUAAAAAUUUGGGUUGCAUCUUCUUGCUUAUGCCUUUGCUUCUCUGCAGUUUUGGAAAUGAUUGUUUCAUAGUCUCAUCAAAUUGGGUUACAGAUUCUUGCUUAUGCCUUUUCUUCUCUACACUUUUGGAAAUGAUUGUGUUUCUUAGUGGUCUCAUCAUGGAUGUAUGGCCUUCAAUUUUUGAUUUUUGGUAUAGGGUUGAAAGAACAUGGCUUUUUGUUUCCCUUGAUUCUUCUAGGUGCAUAAGAAAGUAACUUCACUACCAAGGAUUAUUCAUUCCUCAACUACUCCUUUUUGAUUCUAAGCUUUUUUUUUUUUUUUUUGUUUCAAUUGUUUUGGUGCGACUGUUGAUUUUUAUUCACGUUUAAUUGGUGGGUUGGCUUAGUCUUCUGCAGCAGGUUGACAACUUGCCCCGAUAAGUUGCCAAGUCUUUCCCAAAAAAAAAAAUGGUUACAUCUACUUGCUUAUGCUUUUUCUUCUGUACCCCUUUGGAUAUAUGAUUAUAUAAAUCAUACUGACUCAACCAAAAUGUAUAUCCUUUAAUUUUUGGUUUUUUUUUUCCUGACUUAGGUUCAAAGAGCACCACUUUUCAAUCGCUUUGUCCUUUUGGUUCAGUGCAAGUGAUUCCUCCAACAAGCGACUUAUUCUUCCAAAAUAGAUUGGGUGUUUUUUUUUUUAUUUCUUAUUAUUUUUUUUGCAUUUUUAAUUUCAUUGGCUUGCCUAUUGGUAUCUAUGUUUUUAAUUUCUUGCUUAUUUUGUUGCAGCUUCUAAACAAUGUGUCUUGAUAGGUUGCUCGAAAAUCUCGCAAAAAAAAUUUGUUUCAAUGUUUACUACUUGUGCCUUUUCUGCUAUAUAUUUUUUGAGAAUAUUCUUUCUUUCAUAGUGUUUCAUUGAGAAUGGAUGGGCUUUUUACUUGAGUUUUUUGACUUAGGUGAAAAGGGUGUGGCUUUUCUUCCCCUGUAAUGGUGUGGGUGAAAGAAAAUGAUUCAUUCGAAGCAAUUCAUUUUCUAUUUUGAGAUCUGACUUUGUUCCUCGACUUUAAGUUUGUAUUGGUGUUGUUUGACUUUUGUGAAAUAUUAGUGUUUAAUUGUAUGCUUAUUUUGUUGCAGCUGCUUUCCAAUGGGUGUCCACAAGUUAUCAUCACGUUCUGAAAACUUGGGUUGCAUCUUCUUGCUUAUGCCUUUACUUCUCUGCAGUUUUGGAAAUGGUGAAGGCUCCAAUGGAGGCAAAGGAAAGAAAGGUGCGACCGAGCAUCAAGGGGACUAUCCAGUAAUUAUAUAGUCCUUCUCAUCUAUUUGGUUGUAUAACGAAUUGUAUAUGCAUAUGCUAACUUAAGAAUCAUAUAUACUAUUUUGUGUCACACUUGCAUGAUUUAUGUUAUAAACUAUGGGUGGGAUGUUGUAUUAUUGUUGUAAUGGCUGUGAGAGGUCAAUAUACUAGUGUAAAUAUUAGUUUUGUAUUGGUACAAUGUUUGUUUGGCUAUUUAAAAGAUGAUUGUAUGUUUUACUCCUUGUGGAAUUUAUGUUAAAUGGAGGGUUUUGGUGGUAAAUUUUGUUUGGACUGUUGUUGUUGUGAUUGGAAUGCAUGUAUAGAUUGUUUGUGGUCCAUUGGAGUUGGUUCAAGUAGUUCUAUGGUUAUUAGUGCGUGGUAUAUAAGUUUAGACACCUUUAUGGAGUUUUGGAAAGAAAAUGUAUUAUUUUAGGUUUAGGUGUUCAAAUUUCAUUUGGUUUGGUAUUUGGGUGUGAGAUUGGUGCCAUGGUUCUAAGAGCUAUGUGUGGAUACUUGAAUCACUCGAAUUGGACAUCGGAUAAAAAAAUGGCACGCUUUGAAUGUUCGUAUAAAGAGUUGUCAUGACAAUGGACGCGUGAUGUGCUGCAUUGACCAUUAUACUGUGGCACGAGGCAGAGAAAGGGAUGUUUUCCUCUAUGCAAUUCGCCGUGGUGCACAUUGUUUUUUGUGGGUAAAUUUUUCAAAUUAUUUAAUAUGUUUUAUGUGAUGACUCUUGCUUUCGUUAUCUUGUUUAAUUGGUUUUAAAUUAUUAUUUGAGUUCAAACGAUCCUUUAAAAGGAUUUUAUUAGGAUCCCAAUUUUUUAAACUUUUCUAACGCUUGAAUUAUGAUAGCCUCUUAUAAGGGAUUUAAAUAUAUUAGUUAUCAUAAUGGUGUUCUGUGUGUUUGGUAAUGUUAAGGAUGACGUUACACAAGGUGUUGGAGUUAGUUGUCAUUUGCUAAACAAAAAGAAAGUAUGUGGCGUGUUUGACUUGAAGGGAGGGUGAGGGUUUCUCCGUGCCAACGUGAUUGGGAAGAAGCAGCAUAGCAAAGAUUAGAUGUUCAUCACCAAAUAGGGUAGGAGGUGAAAUAAGUGAGGACAGAAAAUUCAAAGAUUAUCAUUGAGAGCUCUUGUAAGUGUGUUGACCUUCCUCUAUUACUUUUUUACAUUCCAUCAUAACUCUUGUGAUAGUUAGUCUAAAUCCUGUUAAUUUGUGCCGCCCUUAUCUAUUUCAUCACUUUUCCAUUUUGGAAAAUGUUUAUCCCUAUUUCUUUUCCCAUUUAAAAUUUAAAAUCCCAUGUUUGUUAGUCUUAGCUUGAUGAUGGAUGCUUAUGCAAGCUCUUGAAUCGAGAAGGAUGAAGAUACUUAUGUUAGCCAAAUUGAGAGGUCAUGUUAUUAAUUUCUUCUCUUAAUUUUUUUUUAUGCAAGUUGGAGCAAAACUAUUAUAAGUUUGAUUAUUGUUAGAAGAAUAGAGCUCUUUCUUUUUAGGAGAAAUUGACAGAAUUAAAGGAGGAGUAUACAUAUAGCAAAAACUUUGAGGUAAAUCUGGUAGUAGUCAAGUUGAUGACAGAUAACAUGAUAGGAAGAGUUCAUCUCAAUAGCAACUAAAUCAGUUGAUAUUGAUAAAAUCAUGAAGUCCCUAAUUAUGUUGAAAUUGAUAUUGAGCUAAUUAAGUUGUUCAUAUUAAUAGCAACAGCAACUUCAUAUCUAUCCCUGCUUCAACUUAUUUCAUACAUCUCAUUUUUGUUGAUAGAACUCUAGACUAAUUUGUGCAUUCGCAAUGCUUAAUUUGUUACUUUCUUUUUUAUUGAUUUUGUUUGGCUCAAUCUUUAUGCUUUCUUUGUACUGUUGCUUUAGUAUUUGGAACAAUUAAAUGAAAAAAGUUAAAGUUGGCCUCUGAUAGGUUAUAUUUGUUAUACACUUUUAUUUCACAUUUAAGAUCACAUUUCAUAAUAGGAAACCCUAAAAUAUACAUUCUUAGUGUUAAACUAGGGUUUUAGCCCUAGUGAGAAAAUAUGUAUAAUAAGAGUAUUUUAGUCAUUUUGCACUUUGUUGGGAAUUCAAGAAAAAAUUUAGAAUUUGAUGUGUGCAUUAGUUUUAGGUCUAUUUGGGUUGAAAUAUUUGGUCUUAAAGGUUGCAUUUGGACUUAGGGUUGAAAAGUCAACAUUUUAGCUUGACUUGCCAAUUUGGCUUGUCUGACUUUAUUCGCAUGCAUGCAUGGCCACCUUAAUUUUCUCAUGUGUGUUUGUAAAGUUUUGAAUGAUUUUUAAAAAUAUAUGCAAAAAGAUAUUAAGGUUUGAAUAUUUUGAUAAUUAUCACAUGUGCAAAAUAACCUAGUUAAAUUUCAUGUUGUUUUCAUAGGUGACACUUUACAUGGAAGAAGUUUUAGUUGAAGACUUGGUUUGGCACAUAGGGGAGCUUGAGCACGAAAUUUCAGACCUGAAUGGGCUUCAACAUUGUGUGAUUUAUCAAGGCUAAUGAGGCAUACAAGAGGUUUCUAUGCACUUGCACAAAAGGGAUCAAGUUGACUUGUUAAAGUUCAAGAUAAUUGCAAUGUGUUUGAGAAGCUUUGAAGACAAUUCCUGAUCUGAUUUGAGCAUGGUUUGGACAUUAUUUUCAAGGUGUUUAAGGGGAACACAAGUGCUUAACAUGUCCAUGCACAUAUAAGAUUAGAAGAGCAACAUUGAAAUUAUCACCCAAGUUGACUUGCAACCUAGACUCCCCUUAACCUUACUUGACCUAAUGACUUGUUUUGAGUUUUGUGGCAACUUGUUUAGUAGGUAGCCAUUUUCAAUUUCAUCCAAAACACUUUUAGAGAGGCUUAGGAUCAAUUUUUCAGAUCAUUUACUCACAAUUUUGGAUUUCUUCUUCAUGUUCUUCAUUUUCUCUCAAUUCUCUCUUUACACCUCCACUCUUUCUCCUCUAUAUCUCUCAAUCUAACCAUUCAAAUUUCACCAAACCACCACAAUUCUAUUCCUCUUUUUUCCCUCUACAAAACCUAAUAGCUUUCAUAAGGAUCAAACCUUGUUUGCUUGGAGCAAAAUUCAUGGGGGAUUCAGCCAUAAUUUUAGAGCUUCAUCUUGAAGAUUGCUUGAAGAUGCAAAGCUAGAUUCUUGAAGGCACUACUAUGUAGAGGAGGAAACUUUGAGUUUGUAUUAUAUCUAGUUGGAUUUGAAUUUCUUCUCUAUACUUUCCUUUAUCUAGAAUUAUAAAUUUGUAUGACUCUUUGAUCUUGUAAUUUCAAGUGAUGAUUAACAUGAUUGAGAGAUGUUUGUUGCAA